rnacentral:rRNA from 1 species
GACGAACGCUGGCGGCGUGCUUAACACAUGCAAGUCGAACGGAAAGGCCCUGCUUUUGUGGGGUCUCGAGUGGCGAACGGGUGAGUAACACGUGAGUAACCUGCCCUUGACUUUGGGAUAACUUCAGGAAACUGGGGCUAAUACCGGAUAGGAGCUCCUGCUGCAUGGUGGGGGUUGGAAAGUUUCGGCGGUUGGGGAUGGACUCGCGGCUUAUCAGCUUGUUGGUGGGGUAGUGGCUUACCAAGGCUUUGACGGGUAGCCGGCCUGGGAGGGUGACCGGCCACAUUGGGACUGAGAUACGGCCCAGACUCCUACGGGAGGCAGCAGUGGGGAAUAUUGCACAAUGGGCGGAAGCCUGAUGCAGCAACGCCGCGUGCGGGAUGACGGCCUUCGGGUUGUAAACCGCUUUCGCCUGUGACGAAGCGUGAGCGACGGUAAUGGGUAAAGAAGCACCGGCCAACUACGUG